CAUAAUGCUGUCUGUGAUGGUUCCGCCCGAUGAGACGACGGCGGAUGAAAAGGGAACACGGUGCGGACUACCCAUCAGGGACCAAAACCGUGGCUGCCCCCGCAACUGUAAGCGGUGAGCGAUGUCCAAAUAUGCCAUUGGCCUAUAUUUCGGCUGAUAAGGCGGACUGAGCCAAGACCCGUGAGCCAGGAGACCUGCCAUCGCUGGGCCACGACA
rnacentral:ncRNA from 2 species